GAAUAAAACAUAAACAGUCGUUAUAUUCUCUAUACCAGAGGGUUAUUAGUGCAACCUGGAAGUAUGUUAUACAUGUGUUUGUUUCAGUCAGAACACUCGUCAUAAAAACAUCUUGAUUAAUCUUUGUUUUAUGUUAACCUUGCCUUUUCUUUUUGAAUUGUAGCUCCAUGCCACUUUGAUGAAUGUAAGACAUAGAAAAAGAAAUAUGAGGACUGAAAGAGUUGAUUCUUUUGAUGCACGAGGUAUAUUUAAGAAGUAUGGCAAAGAAGAUUGGGGCGAAUAUGUAAUUCCAGAAGCACAUCUUUCUCAGAGAUUUCUUUAUGAUGAAAGUGGAUACUACCAUUGCUGUUGCUCGAUACCCUUUCCUGUAGCAUCGAAAUUCAGUGGUUUCUAAGGCUGUUGAGUCAGGUGAAACAUUUCUAUAUUUGAAAAAUAGACUUCUAUAGUUUUCUAUUUUAGUUUCUUGCCACCCUUAAGUGUGUAAGUGCGAUCAAGCUUCAUUUCUUUGAUACAGAACAGACAAAAAGUUUAAUCUAAUGAUUUGGCAUUGGAAUUUGCAUACUAUCAA